AUGACAUACAAGCCGGACGCGCCGGCUCCGGGCGCGUCAGAAGGGCGGCCGGACGGCAACAAAGGUGCCAAGAAGGGGAAACACGCAGACGCGGCCACUGCUCGCGUGCAGGAAUCCAUCCAGCACUGCCUUGCCGACGCACAGGCCCGGGCCGUCCUUCGUGAAGAGAAGACCGAGGCGCGGUGGUCGGCGUUGAUGUCAACAAGCGCCGUCAAGCUCGACCUACUCCGGGCCAACGUCGCCGCGAAGAAGAGGAACACCGACCUGGCUUUCCUGCUGGGCGGGGCGGACAUGCUCCAGAGCACCGAUGAGGCGGUCAAGGCGUGGUACAGGGCGCAUGUCGGCCUCAUCCUGGACCAGCUUCCCUCGACGACGCCGCCCACGCUCACGCCCACGACGACGCCGCCCCCGCCCACGCGCAUGCCGACGCCGCCAACAAGCCCGACCGAUGAUGCCACCGAGACUGCCCGCAGCGCAGAAGCCAUGCCGCCAAGCACAGAGACCCCGUCAAGCCUGCACACGCCGACUCCCCCGACGCCGGAGGCCGACCUCGCCGUCUAA
rnacentral:rRNA from 1 species